rnacentral:rRNA from 1 species
UACGUAGGGUGCAAGCGUUAAUCGGAAUUACUGGGCGUAAAGAGCGCGCAGGCGGUCGUUCAAGUCGAGUGUGAAAGCCCCCGGCUCAACUGGGGAGGGUCACUCGAUACUGAUCGACUUGAAGGCGGGAGAGGGAAGCGGAAGUUCCCGGUGAUGAGUGGUGAAAGUGCGAUGAGAUAUCGGGAGGAACACCAGUGCGGA